CUCCGGUUGAUCCUGCCGGACCUGACUGCUAUCGGAUUGGUACUAAGCCAUGCGAGUCGUUGUAGCAAUACAAGGCGGACGGCUCAGUAACACGUUGUCAACCUAACCUAUGGACGUGGAUAACCUCGGGAAACUGAGAAUAAACCGCGAUAGAUCAUUAUGCCUGGAAUGGCUUAUGGUUCAAACAAUUUAUUGCCGUAGGAUGGGACUGCGGCCUAUCAGCUUGUUGGUGAGGUAAUGGCCCACCAAGGCUAUAACAGGUACGGGCUCUGAGAGGAGAAGCCCGGAGAUGGGUACUGAGACACGGACCCAGGCCCUAUGGGGCGCAGCAGGCGAGAAACCUUAGCAAUGUGCGAAAGCACGACUAGGUUAAUCCGAGUGAUUUCUGUUGAAGAAAUCUUUUGUCAGUCGUAAAACCACAGACGAAUAAGGGGUGGGCAAGUCUGGUGUCAGCCGCCGCGGUAAUACCAGCACCUCGAGUGGUCAGGAGGUUUAUUGGGCCUAAAGCAUCCGUAGCCGGCUACGCAAGUCUCCGGUUAAAUCCAGCUGCUCAACAGAUGGGCUGCCGGAGAUACUACAUAGCUAGGGAGCGGGAGAGGUAGACGGUAUUCUGUGGGUAGGGGUAAAAUCCACUGAUCCAUAGAGGACCACCAGUGGCGAAGGCGGUCUACCAGAACGCGUUCGACGGUGAGGGAUGAAAGCUGGGGGAGCAAACCGGAUUAGAUACCCGGGUAGUCCCAGCUGUAAACGAUGCAAACUCGGUGAUGCAUUGGCUUAUGGCCAAUGCAGUGCCGCAGGGAAGCCGUUAAGUUUGCCGCCUGGGAAGUACGGACGCAAGUCUGAAACUUAAAGAAUUGGCGGGGGAGCA
rnacentral:rRNA from 1 species